AGGGUAGGUUAAAGUACAGUAGAGUACAGUAGAGUACAGUAGAGUAGAGUACAGUAGAGUACAGUAGAGUAGAGAACAGGUCCACUGUAGUCCAGGGCAGGGUCAGGUUAAAUGUAGAGUAGAGUACAGUAGAGUAGAGAACAGGUCCACUGUAGUCCAGGGCAGGGUCAGGUUAAAUGUAGAGUAGAGUACAGUAGAGUAGAGAACAGGUCCACUGUAGUCCAGGGCAGGGUCAGGUUAAAUGUACAGUAGAGUACAGUAGAGUAGAGAACAGGUCCACUGUAGUCCAGGGCAGGGUCAGGUUAAAUGUACAGUAGAGUACAGUAGAGUAGAGAACAGGUCCACUGUAGUCCAGGGCAGGGUCAGGUUAAAUGUACAGUAGAGUACAGUAGAGUACAGUAGAGUACAGUAGAGUACAGUAGAGUACAGUAGAGUAGAGAACAGGUCCACUGUAGUCCAGGGCAGGGUCAGGUUAAAUGUAGAGUAGAGUACAGUAGAGUAGAGAACAGGUCCACUGUAGUCCAGGGCAGGGUCAG
ensembl:lncRNA